GACGAACCGUGCGAACGUUGUUCGGAAUCACUGGGCUUAAAGGGCGCGUAGGCGGCUUACCAAGUCCGGGGUGAAAUUUUGCGGCUUAACCGUAACAGUGCCUUGGAUACUGGUAGGCUCGAGGGAGACAGGGGUCCGCGGAACUUCCGGUGGAGCGGUGAAAUGCGUUGAUAUCGGAAGGAACGCCGGUGGCGAAAGCGGCGGACUGGAUCUCUUCUGACGCUGAGGCGCGAAAGCUAGGGGAGCAAACGGG
rnacentral:rRNA from 1 species